UGCUUACACAUGCAAGUCGAACGAUGACGGUGGUGCUUGCACCGCCUGAUUAGUGGCGAACGGGUGAGUAACACGUGAGUAACCUGCCCCCCACUUCGGGAUAACCUCGGGAAAUCGUGGCUAAUACCGGAUAUGAGCACUCAUCGCAUGGUGGGUGUUGGAAAGAUUUAUCGGUGGGGGAUGGACUCGCGGCCUAUCAGUUUGUUGGUGAGGUGAUGGCUCACCAAGACGAUGACGGGUAGCCGGCCUGAGAGGGCGACCGGCCACACUGGGACUGAGACACGGCCCAGACUCCUACGGGAGGCAGCAGUGGGGAAUAUUGCACAAUGGGCGAAAGCCUGAUGCAGCGACGCCGCGUGGGGGAUGACGGCCUUCGGGUUGUAAACCCCUUUCAGUAGGGAAGAAGCGAGAGUGACGGUACCUGCAGAAGAAGCGCCGGCUAACUACGUGCCAGCAGCCGCGGUAAUACGUAGGGCGCAAGCGUUGUCCGGAAUUAUUGGGCGUAAAGAGCUUGGAGGUGGCUUGUCGCGUCUGCCGUGAAAACCCGAGGCUCAACCUCGGGCGUGCGGUGGGUACGGGCAGGCUAGAGUGUGGUAGGGGAGACUGGAACUCCUGGUGUAGCGGUGAAAUGCGCAGAUAUCAGGAAGAACACCGAUGGCGAAGGCAGGUCUCUGGGCCAUUACUGACACUGAGAAGCGAAAGCAUGGGUAGCGAACAGGAUUAGAUACCCUGGUAGUCCAUGCCGUAAACGUUGGGCACUAGUGUGGGGGACAUUCCACGUUUUCCGCGCCGUAGCUAACGCAUUAAGUGCCCCGCCUGGGGAGUACGGCGCAAGGCUA
rnacentral:rRNA from 1 species